rnacentral:ncRNA from 1 species
AAAAGACUUGGUUCUGAUCUGCGAUAACAACGGUGACAAGCGAUUACACAUGGUUUCUUUCGAAAGCGGUGAGAUAGUAUAUGAGUUUAUUAUUAGGAUUUAUCCCUCUUAUUAAAUUAUUACUUAAGAUAUUAUUAAUAACAUAACGUCUUGAAGGUCCCACUAACACCAGUGUUGAAUAAUUAAUUAACUAUACGUAAGUAUGCUUUAGUUUAGUCAUUAGGUCUGGUAAACUAGGUGCCAGCAACCGCGGUUAUACCUAGGGAUCAAGUUGUUACUUUUAGGUAAUAAAGGCAGUUAAAUUUAUUAAAAAAAAUUGUCAUUUAGAAAACAUUAUUAGAGGUAGAAUUCAGCUGAGUGUUUUUAUACCAAAUAUUACAAUAGUAAUUGAAGCUGCGAAACUUAGAAGGGAAACUGGGAUUAGAUACCCCACUAUUUUUAAGCGUAAAUUGACAUAUGUUCUACCAGAGUACUAUGAACUUUAUAUUUAAAACUCAAAGGACUUGGCGGUGCUUUAGACUUCUUAGGGGAACCUGUUCCAUAAUCGACAGCCCACGUUAUACCUCUCCUUUCUUUGUUGUCAGUUUGUAUACCGUCGUCGUCAGGUAACUUUUAAAAACAUAAAAGUUAGCAAUAAAGCUUUAUAUAAGCUUUCACGUCAGAUCAAGGUGCAGCUUAUAAAAAGGUGAGAAUGGGUUACAAUUAAAAAUAAUAAUUACGGAAAAAAGAAUGCAAUUUUAAUUUGAAGGAGGACUUAAAAGUAAGGAUAUUAUAAUAUAAAUUUUCUGAAUUUAGCUCUGAAGCGUGCACACAUCGCCCGUCGCUCUCGUUGAAAAAUGAGAUAAGUCGUAACAUAGUAGGGGUAAUGGAAGUUGCCCCUUGCUGAGC